UUGGCUCUGUUACAAAUGAGAAAAUGUGAAGAUCCUCAAGUGACUUAGAGCACAAUUGCGAGGAGACAAUGAAGACAUGUCACCUGAACUUGCCUACCUAAUGUAGCCCUACAGGAGUGGUUCUGAACCAUGGACACUUUUGGUUCCCAGAGGACAUUUGCCAAUUUGUGGAGACAUUUUUGGUUGUCGCACAUAAGCCAUCUAGUGGAUGGAGGCCAAAGAUGCUGCACAUCCUGCAAUGUAUAGAAGAACCCACUCACUAUAACCAAGAAUUAUUUGGUCCAAAAUAUGAAAUCAUCAGUAGUGCCAAAGUGGAGAAACCCUGCUCUAGAGGGCUGUGGCCAUGCUUAUAAAAACAUCUCUCUCUAGAGGACCUUGUCACUGUCUUGGUAACAACAAGGGGUUCCUGUCACUAUCUAUAGCAACCAUGGAGAAGCUUUGAGCUGUCAAAAUUUCACACGAUUGAGAUCCUCUCUCCCAUCCCGGAGAAUCCAAUUAAUGUUUUAGGAGGUGGGAGACAAACCAGAACUGAAAUAAUGUACUAUCAGCAGAUCCUCACUGUAGAAAUUCUCAAAGACUCAUGGAAGUAUUUUGAGAAGAAGGAAAUGAUUGCAAAAAAAAAAAAAAUCUGGAAUGAAAGAAGAAAAUGAAGUCAAAUCCAGUGGAACUAUGGAGCAGGGGCAGGAGCAGAGGAGUGAUGCUCAAUAUGCAUGUUCUCCCUUCCACGUCACUCCUACCUGAUGCCCUAAGAGCACAGAAUUCCAACGGACCCACAAUGUCUGCGUGUUCAGUAAGACUCAAAGUGAGGACAAGGUGUCCACAUUUGCUGUGUCUCACAAAGAUGCCAAGAGCCGACAUCCAAAGGGACAGCAGUAUGGUUCCCUGACCAGAAGAUGUGGGGAGUCGUGGAGGAAGACAGAGAAGCCUGGAGAGGGAAGGUUAAGUAACCUUCCCGAAGUCCACAGCAGUGUCACAUCUCCACCCAGGUCUUCUGACUUCUAAAUCCGGAUAUUACAAAGGAAUCCCAGGAAGAAAUUGUGACGAGAUGUGUCUGCAGCAGGCGAGGAAGCCCAGGCACACAAAAUCCUAUAGGACUCCACAGUCCCUCAGCAUCCUCAGAGAGCACUCAGGUCAAUGAUGAAAAAGCCCCAAUCCCUGGUACAUGGAACAAAGACUACUCUACCUUCCUGCACUUCAGGGCUGCCUUGUUUCUGAUUCUCCUGGCCCAGCAUCCUUCCUAAUCUUCCGGGGCACUUUCAGCUCAGCAGAUAUCAACAUGCACCCCUGCCUCCUCAUCUGCCAUCUAAUCAGUGACAUAGCUCUUUUUACAGUUAAAAGAAUCAAGCUUAAAGCCAAAAAUCUAGCUUUGUUGCUCCUCUUUCCUCCCCUCCCUUCCUUCUUCCUUUCUCCUACCUCCCUCCAGCCCUGUAGAGUGUACUGCUAUGUGUCAGGUACUAACCCUUCUCAGGACCUAGAGUUCCCUGUCUCCCUGGGAUAGCAUAAUUCAAAGACAAUAUGGCUCUAUUAUCAGAUAAGACGUUGAAACUUCUCCCCAACCCUGAGGAUUCUUUUCUCACAGCAGCAGGGCUGUGUGUUUCUUUUUCAAUGGAUUACUUUUCAAAAGGGUCAGAACUGGCAAGGGAGCCCAGACAGGAAUGUAAAUGGUUGGGUCUUCUGCCUAUUCUAGUCUUUAGGUGAGUUUGACCCUCCAUGGUGACAACAAAGAGCAGGGAGGAAAUUGAGGCAGCUGAUACACAAAAACCACCUCAAGUCCACAUAGAGGUGGCCAUGAGCAGUGGCUAUGCAGGUGACACUAUAUGGAUCCAUAAAUACCUGGUUUGCUUUCACUAUGACCCCAAAGAUUCUUGAGGUUAUAGGCUCAGCAAACACUAUUUAUUUAAAUAAUUCAAGACUGUCCCCUUGUAAUUUUAUCCUUCAUUCACUGAACUAAAUUCUUCUCUAGACUUUCCCCUAAAUUGGACCUAACCCUUCCCUAGAUUGGACCUAAAAAGACCCUUUGUUUCUCUAUCCUUAAUUUCUGUUUAGGUACUUACAAAAGGUUUUGCUCAUUGUGACUUUAUUGAGUCACUGCCACUCCACAUAUCUGGGGCCAGCAGCUCCAUUCUGGAUACCUGUUCUGCCCUUGACUCCCCUCACACUUCAGGUCUCAGUGCUAUAACACAUUCCUGUCUCCUCCUCAGUGCCUUUCUGUUACACCCCUGCAUUCCAUGAAUUUACACACUGUGUCAUAUUUCUAUGAACUAAACUAAUGUAUUUCCCUCCUCCAACCAAAUGUAUUUAGCACUGAUCAAUCUUAAAGAACACUAAUAAUCUUAAUACUAUCAGUAUUACUCAUAAAAGUACCAUCAUUUAUGAUAUCCUCACCAUGG